CUUGUGUUGCCUGCUGGAUCACAUCCAUAGCAACCUGCUUGGAAACCUGCCUGGGAACCAAGAGUUGUUGGGCCAAAGCCAUGAGUGCCAACUGUCAGAUGGGGCUGAGACUGGGACAAGGCCGUGGCCUGGGCUGGAUUUGGGGUGUUAGGUGGGUGCUCUGAAGGUCAUGCAUCCCUCUAGCAAGCCUGAGCUGCGUCUGCCCAAAUACUGCAGCGUGGCCACAAUCCGGAAAGCCCCUGACCCGGACGGUGCUGCAUCACCCUGGGACCUCCCCUUCACCUGUCCCUUUGCCAGGAAAGCACCCUGGCUGCCCAUCAGCUGCACACUCACCAGGUGUGCCUCUUGUCACCCAUGUUCCCGUACUGCUGAUGCACCAUGGCAAGGGCUCAGUUGGCUGGGAAGAGUCGGAGAUGCUGCUGGCCCCUGGGUCCUGGCCAGGAGGGAACCGGAUGGCUUUUACUAUCUGGCUCAGAUAAAGGCUGCCCCAGAGCUGGAGAGGCGGGGGGCCUUGGUUGUGGAAUUUGAGGCUCCCCUUGUCACAGGCCUAAAGCUGCCAGCCCAGCAACGGAGAGUGGUAUUUCCAGAAGAUGUCAUUCAGUUCUCACCAUCCGUGGCACACUCACUGCAACCUGGUGACAAGGUGCUGGCACCUUUGGAAUCAGAGCAACAACAGUUUGGCCCUGCCACUGUUCUCUUGGGCUUGAAGAAACAAAAAGGCCAAACAGCAUCUAAAGAAGAAGAAAUCACUGUUCACUUCUGGAAUGGCAAGAUGGCUAAGGUUCCUCUAGACAGGGUCAGGUGGGUGUCCCUCACUGUCUGGAAGAAGGCUGUGGAGAGACUACAAACACCUCACACCGGGGAGUACCACAGUCCUUUCAUUUGGGUGCCUCACUGCUCUCCUCUGGGACCUAAGACAGGAAGCUUCACACACAGGCCCUGUCUGGACUCUUCCUUCUCAUGCUCUCCUGGCCCCUCCUGUGCCCGCUGCCAGUUUCUGUAUCAGAGCUGUUUCUGUGGCUGCCCUUUGGUGGGGCCUAGCUGGUGGUCUCUAACUAGGACCUCAGAGGUCACAACCAGAAAACUCCCAGAGCCAGAGCUGGAGCCCACAGCUCAGCUUCUGCCCCUACAAAGUCCCAAAGAGGAGGCAGUAGCAGCAUUCAGAUGCAAUCUGUCCUCCUUCUCUGAGGAAGAGAAUUCAGAGAGUCAUCUGGAGACGGGACCUCCCCAGAGACAGAUGGUGAGCAGGGCAGUCAACACUGACCCCAUCCUUUCUGAGAAGUCUCUGCAGCAGCGUGACCCCUGGCAGCCGGAGUGGAGGUACUGGAGGCGAAAUGGGCCUGAGCCACCCCCUGGAAAACCAGUUUUGUAUCCUUGUAAGGAAACGUACUGCCUGGCUUAUAAGAAGGAUUGGUUAUUCAGUCAAUACUAAGUACCAGCACUCCAUCAGACAGUACUUGAAAUCAGUGUCAAGUUCCAAAGCUUGACUGUCAGUCGUCAGCUCUACCUGUUGUGAUCCUCUGGAACAAGACGUUGCCACAAUAAGAAAAAAGACAAGGACAAUCAACAAGACAGAGUGUGAAUUGCAAUUGUGGGGACUAUCCAGGAGCUAGCCCUGAAAGCCACCAACGUGAAACCAUGGCAGAUUCAACCAGAAGCUGCACACAGACAACGAUGUCAGUGCAUUGGGACAACCAGAGGAACUCCUUAAGCAGUUUUUUCUGGGGUGAUAUUCUGUUUGAGAAUGGUAAAACUAUGGCUCCGUUCCAGAAACCCACACAUACCCACUGUUUUGCAUGUCAGAAGACUUAGAGGACCCUCAAAAUUCAUUCCAGUCUUCUGGGGGUAAGUGCAAGGAGCCCUAUAAAAAGUUUCUAGCACCUAUAAACCCCAAGAUUUGGGAAGUUGAGGCUGGAGGAUUGCUUCAAGUGUGAGACCAGCUUAGGUAACUGUGUACAUUGAGUUCCAGGACAGGCUCCAAAACUACACAGAGAAACCCUGUCUUGAAAAAUCAAAAACCAAAACAAAAGAAAACAAACAACAAAAAGCCAAUCUUUAAAACUAUAGUCAGUAUAUAAGAUUUAAGAUUUUUCUCCUAGAGGAAGUUAGGGAUAAUAAGGUAAACACUUGAAAAGGGGUUAAAAAGAGUGGCUGACCAAGCCUUGACAGGAGAUUAAGCAUAGGUUGUAGGUGAGUGUCUAACAGUACUGCUCCCCUGAGACUUCCUGCAGGUAAGCAGCAUUUGGAAAACAUUUGUUGUGAGGGGCGCAGGAGCUGGUGGUCCUGCACUGGAACUCCCUCCCAAGGGCCUGACGAACACUUAUUCACAAAAGGGACAGGGUGUGCCCACUGCUGUCUUCUCAUAAAAUCUACAGCUCUACAUGGGGAACGCUGUUUCUUUCUUUUUAAUAUCAAUAAAAUGAAUUCCUUUUA